UCCGAUAUGGUCUAGUGGCUAGGAUUUCUCGCUCUCAAACAGUUGUAUCUUGUACAGCGAUCAGGUCCGAGGAGGCCGGGGUUCAAUUCCCCGUGUCGGAA
rnacentral:tRNA from 1 species